rnacentral:rRNA from 1 species
AACGCACCUUGCACCCUGGGGUAUUCCCUAGGGUAUGCCUGUCUGAGUGUUAUUUGACCUCUCAAAGUUCCUUUCCUCUAACCGGGUCGGGAUGCUUUGGAUCAUGGGUGUUUGCGAGCCUUGGCUUGCUCACCUCAAAUAGAAUGUGGCAUUCUUCUCUGAAGCUGCUGCUGGGCUUGACCUGGAGUGAUAGAAGUCUUUCGAGAUCUCUGGGGAACUGUCUUUUGACGGUGCCUGCUGUAGUGGGAGGGAGUGUCUAACAGACUCAUCUGACGUUUUUGACCUCAGAUCAGGCAGGACUACCCGCUGAACUUAA